AGCCAGACUCCUACGGGAGGCAGCAGUGGGGAAUAUUGCACAAUGGGGGAAACCCUGAUGCAGCGACGCCGCGUGAGCGAUGAAGUAUUUCGGUAUGUAAAGCUCUAUCAACAGGGAAGAAAAUGACGGUACCUGACUAAGAAGCCCCGGCUAACUACGUGCCAGCAGCCGCGGUAAUACGUAGGGGGCAAGCGUUAUCCGGAUUUACUGGGUGUAAAGGGAGCGUAGACGGCAUGGCAAGUCAGAUGUGAAAGCCCGGGGCUCAACCCCGGGACUGCAUUUGAAACUGUCAGGCUGGAGUGCAGGAGAGGUAAGUGGAAUUCCUAGUGUGGCGGUGAAAUGCGUAGAUAUUAGGAGGAACACCAGUGGCGAAGGCGGCUUACUGGACUGUAACUGACGUUGAGGCUCGAAAGCGUGGGGAGCAAACAGGAUUAGAUACCCCAGUA
rnacentral:rRNA from 1 species